ACGUAGGGUGCGAGCGUUAAUCGGAAUUACUGGGCGUAAAGUGUGCGCAGGCCGCCGAGCAUGUCGAGUGUGAAAGCCCCGAGCUUAACUUGGGAACUGCGCUCGAAACUACUUGGCUAGAGUGUGGCAGAGGGAGGUGGAAUUCCACGUGUAGCGGUGAAAUGCGUAGAGAUGUGGAGGAACGCCGAUGGCGAAGGCAGCCUCCUGGGCCAACACUGACGCUCAUGCACGAAAGCGUGGGGAGCAAACAGGA
rnacentral:rRNA from 1 species